ACGGGUGAGUAACACGUGGGCAAUCUGCCCUUCACUCUGGGACAAGCCCUGGAAACGGGGUCUAAUACCGGAUAACACUCCUGCCCGCAUGGGCGGGGGUUAAAAGCUCCGGCGGUGAAGGAUGAGCCCGCGGCCUAUCAGCUUGUUGGUGAGGUAGUGGCUCACCAAGGCGACGACGGGUAGCCGGCCUGAGAGGGCGACCGGCCACACUGGGACUGAGACACGGCCCAGACUCCUACGGGAGGCAGCAGUGGGGAAUAUUGCACAAUGGGCGAAAGCCUGAUGCAGCGACGCCGCGUGAGGGAUGACGGCCUUCGGGUUGUAAACCUCUUUCAGCAGGGAAGAAGCGAAAGUGACGGUACCUGCAGAAGAAGCGCCGGCUAACUACGUGCCAGCAGCCGCGGUAAUACGUAGGGCGCAAGCGUUGUCCGGAAUUAUUGGGCGUAAAGAGCUCGUAGGCGGCUUGUCACGUCGGGUGUGAAAGCCCGGGGCUUAACCCCGGGUCUGCAUUCGAUACGGGCUAGCUAGAGUGUGGUAGGGGAGAUCGGAAUUCCUGGUGUAGCGGUGAAAUGCGCAGA
rnacentral:rRNA from 1 species